GCAAUUAAAUAAUAUUACUGAAAAUUCCAAGCCAAAGCAUGUUCUAUGGGUGAGAAUGAAAGCCUUCCAAGCUGGACUCAUUCACACACACACACACACACACACAUGUAUAUAUAAGGCAGAUCAGGACACAGGACUUGGUCAUCUAUAAGAACACAAAACAUUUACUUUGCGUACGUGUAUGUAUGUACACAGAUAGCAGCUCCAUCUCCAUCUCCAUCUCCAAGCUUAGUUUCCAUGUCCAACCACUUGUCCAAUUCAGGCUUAGCUUAGUCAAGGGAGCUCUAUCCCUGAGUUUCUAAGGCAAAGCCCAGAAUCUAUGUAUAUAACCGGUGAAGGGGGUUGAAAAAAUCGAACCGUAUUCGGCAGAAAAUUUGAGCCCAACUCCCGGAGAAGAGGCUUCAAGUUAUUAAUAUAAUUUAGUAUUAAUUAUAUUCAAAGUACGUACUAAGUAAAGUUCCACUUAGCCAUGCAGGUGCCUUGUUUUGUAAGAUUAAUACUUUGAUUAGCAGCUGCUGCCUCCUCCUCCAUGCAUCGAUGGAUCUUUAUGUGUAGGAACAAGGGGGGCCAGUGCUUGCCAUAAGCAGCCAAAACACUAUGGUUCACGUCUAUUUCAACCCAAAGCAAAAGAGUUUGUCCUUUUCUUCUGAAUGCGAGGGUUGGCAUGUGACCAGUUUACAGGGUUCACCUAUAAAUCGAAGGUUUUUAUUGCCUCCAAUACUUUUUGGGUUCCAGUCCAGAACGCGUCUUAAUAUAUCGCAACUUCUUCACCACCACACACCACUAGUUUUAAGGUAUUUCUUCUCUUUCCUUCCCAGAUUGACAACUAUUUCCAAAACCUUUGGACUUUUAUUUAUUUAUUUAUUAAUUUACUUAUACUGGAAGAACAUUUAUAAUUGUUUUGACUUCAUUACCAAUUUUAAUUUAAACUUUAAAUUUACUAUGGAAAGGGUUUUUCCUAACUUCUCAAAUGGUGUAUACCCCACAAUAUCAUGGCUCAAUCACAUAGUAGAUUUUUUUUCCUCAAACUACCAAAAAAAUAAAUUUGCAACUCUAUGUAAUUGUAGAAGCUAUACUUAUAAUAUAUACAGUUUUCCCCACACAAGUGAACGGCUAUCAGUUGUUGAUUUGGUGAGUCCAAAAAACAUGAGACCCACGAUAGCAUUUUUUACCCAUAUCUUUUAAUUUUGAAUAAAAUUAUCAUGAUCAAUUACUUGGUGUUCUUAAUUAGCUAGCUUGGAUAUAUAUAUAUAUAUAUAUAUUAAUGAUCAUGAAGAAAGAAGAAGGGUUGAUGUUGCCCUUGAAAGUAGAAGGGUCCACUGCAAUGAUUUGCCCCAGGCCUCCACUCUCCAGUAGUCCAUCCUAUAACACAUCUAAGAGAGACUGCUAUCAAUUAAGCACAUAUAUAUUUAUAUGUACUUUUUUGAGAAAUUUUUUUCAAACUUCCGUGUGGUUGAAAUCACAAUAAUGGAUAAGACGUAGAAUCAAAAUGAAGAAAAAGAAUUGAAGAGGGAUUUUUGGUAGCCAUGAAAGUACAAGAAACAGAUCUUUCUCCGGAUUUUUGCUGGCCAUCAGUUCCUCAUGUGUUCUAUAUCAUUUUUGUAAUCACCUAAGGAUGACUCAAAUUCCCCGCACGUUCACGUUGUAUCUCUAUCUCUCUCUCUCUCUCUCUCUUCCCUCAUAGGUCCCAGACUAUACAAAUAGGGCUACUAUCAAGGUCCUAUGUAUAUGAGAUCAAAUCCUACUUAGUCAUCAAAAUUAAGAGGGAAUUAAGAAGGUGAUCACGGAGAGAAAUAGAUCAAAACUAAUGAAAUCCACAUAUACUAUAAUCAUAUGUAUAUAUUUGUCUCUGUCAUUAAAAUAACAAGGUACGUGUAUACCUAUAUGUUGAUA